rnacentral:rRNA from 1 species
GACAGAGGGUGCAAACGUUGUUCGGAAUUACUGGGCGUAAAGCGUACGCAGACGGCUUGGUAGGUCGGAUGUGAAAUCCCCCGGCUUAACCUGGGAACUGCGUCUGAUACUGGGAGGCUAGAGUGCGGGAGAGGGAUGCGGAAUUCCAGGUGUAGCGAUGAAAUGCGUAGAUAUCUGGAGGAACACCGGUGGCGAAGGCGGCAUCCUGGACCGACACUGACGCUGAGGCGCGAAAGCUAGGGUAGCAAACGGG